GAUGAAGAACGCAGCGAAAUGCGAUAAGUAGUGUGAAUUGCAGAAUUCAGUGAAUCAUCGAAUCUUUGAACGCACAUUGCGCCCUUUGGUAUUCCUUAGGGCAUGCCUGUUCGAGCGUCAUUUCAACCCUCAAGCUCUGCUUGGUGUUGGGCCCUGCCCGCUGCGGCCGGCCCUAAAGACAGUGGCGGUGCCGCCUGGCCCUGAGCGUAGUACAUCUCUCGCUCCAGUGCCCGGUGGUAGCCUGCCAGAACCCCAACUCUCGUGGUUGACCUCGGAUCAGGUAGGGAUACCCGCUGAACUUAAGCAUAUCAAUAAGCGGAGGA
rnacentral:misc_RNA from 1 species